GCACUCAGUUCAGCAGCAUAUAUACUAAUAUUGAAAUGAUACAGAAAAGAUUGGAAUGGCCCCUGUACAAGGGUGACACACUAAUUUGUGAAGCAUUCUAUAUUUUU
rnacentral:snRNA from 1 species